UCAGUAUGGAGUUGGGACUGAGCUGGAUUCUCCUUAUUUCUUUUUUAAAAGGUGUCCAGUGUGAAGAGAAGCUUGUGCAGUCUGGGGGUGGCCUGAUGAAGCCUGGGGAGUCCCUGAGACUCUCCUGUGUAGCCUCUGGGUUCACCUUCAGUGACUACUGGAUGAGCUGGUUCAGACAAACUCCUGACAUGGCUCUGAAGUGGAUUGGAGAAAUUAAGUAUGAUGGCAGUACCACAAAUUAUGCACCAUCCUUUAAGGAUCGAGUCACCAUCUCCAGAGACAAUGGCAAGAACACCCUGUACCUGCAAAUGAACAGUCUCAAGUCUGAGGACACAGCCACAUAUUACUGUGCUAGACACACAGAAAAUUUGGGACAAACCAAAGAGGAUAUAUUAAGUGUGGACAUUAUCCCUGAAAUUAUCCGAGUAUCACAAACAAGGAAGCACAGUCUCAGGAAUGGCUUCUUCCUCAGACAGGAUGAAGACUUAGAUCACAGCAUCCAGCUGCCUGAUAAAGUUUUCCCGUACCUCCUUCCUCUCGAGCUGGACUAG